rnacentral:rRNA from 1 species
UACGUAGGGCGCAAGCGUUAUCCGGAAUUAUUGGGCGUAAAGAGCUCGUAGGCGGUUUGUCGCGUCUGCCGUGAAAGUCCGGGGCUCAACUCCGGAUCUGCGGUGGGUACGGGCAGACUAGAGUGCAGUAGGGGAGACUGGAAUUCCUGGUGUAGCGGUGAAAUGCGUAGAUAUCAUUUGGAACGCCAACGGUGAAAACAGGCAGCUGGGGGUGUGCUGACGCUGAGACACGAAAGCCAGGGGAGCGAACGGG